rnacentral:rRNA from 1 species
GAUGAACGCUGGCGGCGUGCCUAAUACAUGCAAGUCGAGCGAACAGACGAGGAGCUUGCUCCUCUGACGUUAGCGGCGGACGGGUGAGUAACACGUGGAUAACCUACCUAUAAGACUGGGAUAACUUCGGGAAACCGGAGCUCAUACCGGAUAAUAUAUUGAACUUCAUGGUUCAAUAGUGAAAGACGGUUUUGCUGUCACUUAUCGAUGGACCAGCGCCGCAUUAGGUAGUUGGUAAGGUAACGGCUUACCACGGCGACGAUGCGUAGCCGACCUGAGAGGGUGAUCGGCCACAGUGGAACUGAGACACGGUCCAGACUCAUACGGGAGGCAGCAGUAGGGAAUCUUCCGCAAUGGGCGAAAGCCUGACGGAGCAACGCCGCGUGAGUGAUGAAGGUCUUCGGAUCGUAAAACUCUGUUAUUAGGGAAGAACAAAUGUGUAAGUAACUAUGCACGUAUUGACGGUACCUAAUCAGAAAGCCACGGCUAACUACGU